AUCUUUUAGAAUUAGAACAUGACACUACUUAGAUAUAUCUCCUUGACACAGAGAUCCUAAAAAACAUCAGGCACAUAAGCCUAAACAAAAUAGUGGUGGUUACCUUGGAUUCAUUGGUUCAGAUCUCAUGGCUCCAUAGGAUGGUGAUGCAAAAGAACACUACUUUUUUGUGAAUUUAGUAGCAAACCUGCAAUGCACAAAAAAGAUGAAAUGGUUAAUAAAUGUGCCAAUCAUUCUGAAGCUAGCUAUCAUGCGAAGAUAGAGAAGGAAGGUGACAACGGGUAAGGAAUGCUAUCAUGGUCUAAAAUAAAAUUAAAAACCCUUUGGAAUCUCAGAAACUAUUAUCAUAGAGAUUAGCUAGCUACCAUGCAAUAAUUUUAGAAAACGACAGGUAUAAGCAAUGUGACACAGAAAAGCAAGACAAUCAUUGACCAUGAAAGAAAUAUAUCGGUAACAUCUUCCUUAUAACAUGUCUAUUUCUAAUGAUAAGAUAUGAACAAUAAUAACAUGUAAUGGCGCAAUCGUCACCACGAUCUACUUUCAAACCUCCUCCACACCGCAGAAGGAACACUGGAAGAUCAGAAUAUGAUGGCAGCCUGACAAAGCUGUAGCCCACCCAAAUAGGAGCAAGAUUGGUGCCCAACAUCAAUUGACCUGUCAGAGAAAGGCAAAAAAGACUAAAGUGAUAGCCUGACUAUAGAUGCUAGAAUUAUGGAUCGAGCAAUAACCUGAGUUUUAUUGACCCUUGACCCCGACAAAGCGGUAGCAGCAGCAACCACAUG
rnacentral:lncRNA from 1 species